rnacentral:lncRNA from 1 species
UAAACUGGCGUGACAGGAGUUCCGGGAUUGUCCACAGCACGGUGAUGUGGAAGCCCUGGGGAGAGAAUGAUAAAGAAAGGGGAUGAGGAACAGCUCCACCCGGAAGAGCGGGCUUCCCUAGCAAAUGAAUCUGGAAGGGCGCAGGGGAGGGGGCACGGCGAGUUCAGAUGGACCGAGGCUGGAAGCUGACGCGGUUGGAGGGGGAUGGGUGUAGCUGUUGGCAGUGGCGCUGGGGUGGAAGUGUGUGGGGUCACAGAUGUGUAAGGGUGGGCGCGGAGCAGACCCCCGAAGGUCCCUGAGGUCAGGCUGAGGCAUUGGACCAAAUCCGUACAUAGGCAUUUCUCUGAACUGCGCGCCACCUUUUGAGUGCCAUCUGUUUCCGUCCAGGACUCUGAUACAACUAUCCAGUCCGCUGCAGGGACCGGUCACUGUGUCACAGGUUCUCCAGAGGGCCAGAACUAACAGGAUAUAUGUAUAUAUUGAAAGGGAGUAUAUUAGGGAGAACUGGCUGACAGGAUCAUCAGGCAAAGUCCCACUAUAGUCCAUCUGCAAGCUGAGGAAGGAAGAAGCCAGUCACGUCUC